rnacentral:rRNA from 1 species
UACGAAGGGGGCUAGCGUUGUUCGGAAUUACUGGGCGUAAAGCGCACGUAGGCGGGUUGUUAAGUCAGGGGUGAAAUCCCGGAGCUCAACUCCGGAACUGCCUUUGAUACUGGCAACCUGGAGGCUGGAAGAGGUUAGUGGAAUUCCCAGUGUAGAGGUGAAAUUCGUAGAUAUUGGGAAGAACACCAGUGGCGAAGGCGGCUAACUGGUCCAGUACUGACGCUGAGGUGCGAAAGCGUGGGGAGCAAACAGG